AAACGAUUUUAUUUGGUGUUCCCUCACUAUGGUCUGGAGAAAGGACUGAUGGAUAUGACUUUCAAUGAGUGUCUGUGAUGCUGCAGCUGGAAACGGUUAAUCAAUAGUCAGAAGUCCAUUUGAGUUUGACGUAGUAGGAGGAAAUCUGUUGUCCAUGACAUUUUUAAUUGCAGUUGUCACCCCCUACUGACACAGGAUGUGUCUCUGGUCAUUGACACCUACCUACAAGCAUAUAAGUAAUGACUACAAGAAUGUAGCAGCAGAGAGGAAGAGGAUUAAUUUGGAAGAAGCAAAGGAUGACACUUUCACACUCAAGAUUUUC